UGANGCCGCGAAAAGCUCAUUACAAUAGCCGUUGUUUCUUGGAUCUCCAAAUACUACAUGGAUAACUGUGGUAAUUCUAGAGCUAAUACAUGCGUACAUGCAUCAACUGGUUUCAGCCGGGCGAUGUGCAUUUAUUGGUACAGAACCAUCCGGCUUCGGCCGUUCAUUGGUGAAUCUAAAUAACUGAGCGGAGCACACACUCUUGCAGUGGUGCCAGUUCUUUCAAGUGUCUACCUUAUCAACUUCCGACGGUAGUUUAUGUGCCUACCGUGGUUGUAACGGGUAACGGAGAAUCAGGGUUUGACUCCGGAGAGGGAGCCUGAGAAACGGCUACCACUUCUAAGGAAGGCAGCAGGCGCGCAAAUUACCCAUUCUCAGCACGAGGAGGUAGUGACGAGAAAUAGCAAGGCGGUGCCCAACGGGUGCCGUCAUUGCAAUGAGUACAAUUUAAAUCCUUUAACGAGGAUCUAGUCGAGGGCAAGUCUGGUGCCAGCAGCCGCGGUAAUUCCAGCUCGGCUAGCAUAUAUCAAUGUUGCUGCGGUUAAAAAGCUCGUAGUUGGAUCUGGCGUUUAGCGGCGGGUGCACCCAGUCGGGUGUUACUCGUUCGCGGCGCAUUUUUCUAGUCGGUUGGGCGUCGGUGUCAUUCAUUUGGCUGCCGUCAUCUGCCGACAAGUUUACUUUGAACAAAUCAGAGUGCUCAAAACAGGCGUGUGCCUGCAUGAUUUUGCAUGGAAUAAUAGAAUAGGACUGCGGUUUUAUUUUGUUGGUUCUCGAAACCACAGUAAUGAUUAAAAGGAACAGACGGAGGCAUUCGUACUGCGACGUUAGAGGUGAAAUUCUUGGAUCGUCGCAAGACGAACUACUGCGAAGGCAUUUGUCAAGAAUGUUUUCAUUAAUCAAGAACGAAAGUUAUGGGUCG
rnacentral:rRNA from 1 species